UACGUAGGGGGGCAAGCGUUGUCCGGAUUUAUUGGGCGUAAAGAGCGUGUAGGCGGCCAGACAGGUCCGUUGUGAAAACUCGAGGCUCAACCUCGAGAUGUCGAUGGAAACCGUCUGGCUAGAGUCCGGAAGAGGAGUGUGGAAUUCCUGGUGUAGCGGUGAAAUGCGCAGAUAUCAGGAAGAACACCUAUGGCGAAGGCAGCACUCUGGGACGGUACUGACGCUGAGACGCGAAAGCGUGGGGAGCAAACAGG
rnacentral:rRNA from 1 species